GCGGACGUGGCGGAAUUUGGUAUACGCGCUACCUUGAGGUGGUAGUGGCCGCAAGGCCGUGGAGGUUCAAGUCCUCUCGUCCGCACCA
rnacentral:tRNA from 1 species